GUUCCUCCAUACUUUUUAGAGGAUUCAACCAACGAUGCCGCUAAAUGCAAUCUUUGAAUGAAACUAUAUCUCAAGAUCAACUUGACUUGCCAGACAGCAGGAAGCCCAUUUUGAACCGGUAGUACUGGUCUCCAAUGAGGCCGAGUGGUUCCAUCUCUUUCUUGGCUAGGAGUGAACCUGAAGCUGAUAAGUCAUCUUGCAUUCCUGGCGACUCUCAUGUUCGAUCUGAACUACCCUUAAAAACUGGGUUGAAGCAGAAACUGGUGACCAACCUUUUUGAGAGGAAGGCAGAAUGACAUUUGGGGUUACUGCUGCAGAAAGCCAAAUGGCACAGAAACAUAUUAUCAAGGAGCCUGGAAAAGAUGGUCAUGAAUUGUUGCAAAGCUUGGCCCAUGGUUCUUUACCCCUGGUUCUUCAAAAUCAUCUGCUAAUAAAUUUCCUGCUUGGUUGGAUGCUGCAAUCUAUGGUCCCAGAACAUUUUCAUUAGAAAGUGGUUCUUCGACUGAAAAGGUAUACAUGUUCAA